UUUAAAUGCUUUGCUAACUCUGUCUGUGCCUAAUCUGUGUCUUGUUUUGACACUGACACCACAAUCCAUGUCCUGUUACAUGUCAUAUCUGAAGCUGCACCCAUUUAAAGUUUCCUCAGAGUACCUCUCAAAUAAUAUUUUAUCCUGAUAAUUAAAGACAGCAGCAUGCACUUGAUAAUCAUUAAAACAAUACUGUCAUUGUAAAAUCUGCUCAAGGACCACACAUAAAGUGUGUUUACUGUGGAGUGAAAUGUCACCUCAGAGAUACCCUAAGUUCUGGUUUAGCUCUGACCUGCUCAACCGCAAAAUCUUUGUCCUCCUCCAGAGGUCUCAUUUAGAUUAUUGCUUCUUGUGUUGUUAAAUGCAACCCUUUCGAAGACAUGUCCAUAAUAGUAAUAAUAAUUAUUAUUAUUACGCUGCAUAUAUUAAGUAUUACUCAUGUUUGCUGAGGUGUUAUAUCUGCCUUGAGAGUUUUGGGACUGCAUCAGAGAAAAGUGCACCUUUGCUGUGAAACUGUUCACUUGUCCCCAUUUUAAAGCAGGUUGGAGAGUUAAGUGACGAUAUAUUUGUCAUUGACUUUUCAGACAAAAGCUUCUUUGUGUUCAAACUAACAUUAUAGCCUUCAUGCCUUUCAACCCUGUGAUAAAUGAUAUUCAUUUGACCUGUUCCUCUGUACUGUUCACCCAUUUUUCACCUUUUUUGGGGGUAUUUCAACAGCAGAGGAAGAGCAAAAAGAAAAAAAACAAAAAAAAACAAAACAAACAAAAACAACCUCCCUGUAAAUUGCUGUUAUGAGCAUCUUGGUGUGAUACUGUGAUAAACUUUACUAAUAACAAGUAUGGAUGAUAAAAUAAAAGGAAUACUUAAAUUAAGCAAAACCCUUUCUUUAGGUAUAGUCCUAAAUCCCACACAUUAACACUGCUAAACCUGGAUUACAACAAUCCAAAGUUGGAAGUCAGAUUUGAGGUUCACAAUCGAGUGCGUCGUUUGAACGACUCUUUUAAGUGAACAAUGAAAACCAGUUCACAGUUGCUAGCUGUUCAUUUGCCAGUGGCCCUAUGAUACGAUAUUAUCACGAUACUCGGGCCACGAUACAAUAUUAUUGAGACUGUUAAUAUUUUCCAAUACUGUGAAUAUUGCGACAUAAUAUAUUGCAAUUUAUAUGCCUUUUUUCAACUGUUUAGCUAAUUUAGUAUUUGUCUUUCCUUUAUGUCUGUCUUAUUUACGCUGCAUUAUAUUUUCAUGUAGCAUCUCUUGCAAACCUUAAAACUGUGUAUUUGUUGUACUCAUUUUCUCCUGCUCUAUGAUGUCACCUCUGCCAACCUCACUGGACAAAUUGAUUUUAUUUUUCCAUUGUCAUUGAUUUGACUUCAUAUCAGUAAUUAAUUUGAAAAAAUUUAUACUUUGUCAAUGAGACGAUAUAAUGUAUAACCAGACAAAAUAUUGUGAAAAUAUUAUCAUUUAGUGGAAGCAUUAUUUUGACCCACGCUAAAACAAAAAACUCCUCUUUGUUACUCCAAAGCAGGGCUCUUUAAGCCUGCUGUAUCAACUUUAAUAGAAAAGGCAUCAUAAUGCAGGACUGCAAAAAUUGCAAACAGAAACAAUUUCAAAUGUAUGAAAAGUAAAUUUUGGAGUGAUGUUAUAUUGAUAUUGGCGCCCAUUACCUACAAUCGUGUUUGUACCUUUCUCCUGUUUCUAGUGUGCUGAGGGAUGUAAGUUAUAUCUUAUUCAAUCAGUUUUGGAAGGCAAACACAUAUUUCCUGAAAUAGGCAGCUUCUUAAAUCAAACCUGUUUCUUGUAUCUGCUUCUUUCAUGUGCCUUUGCUUCAUCUUUUGCUCUGCUGAAAGAAACAAUCAUGGUAAAAGCUUUCCAGCUCAGUCUUCCGUUCAUCUCGCCAUCUGAUAUUGACAGAGUCUGUGCAAGCUUUUGCUCAGUUUGUGUUGGAAGAAGAUGGAUCUCUUUUGUUCCAUGUAGCUAAAGAUCUUUAUGAGCAAAAGUCCUUUUUGUGUUAUUGGCAAAUGCAAUCAGCUACAAUACAUGCAAAAAAAAUCUUGAUGUUGACAAUAGAUUAUAAUUUUAUGUGUGAAUAUUGAGUUUGUCAUGUUCUCGACUGCCAAGACAACCAGCUCAGAGCUGCUGGUGUAAGGUUGCACUCCUGACCUCGCCAACCUAUUUUAAGAGUAUAAUGCAUGGACAUCUGAAGCCAGAGGAGACAAUGACCCCGCAUUUCAUAAGUGUCAUCACUUUCACAAAUUACAUAAAUCAUAUAUUCACCAGUUCUUAUUAAAUAGGCAACUUUAUUAAAUAAAAUAGUUUCUUUUGGAAACGGAACAAGUCAGGGCUUUCUCCUCCAGCGAGGCACAUUGCAGCAGCACACCACGGGAAUAAAGUUUCCAUGCAAGGAGUGAGAGAUGUUAUCUGUGAGACUUGUCAAAGGCUAUUAUCUCAGCCUCUAAUGCCGCGUUUGAGGCGUUCUUUGCGCUCACGGUUAUCACUGGCAGCUUGGCUAAAGGGUGCACAAGUGAGCAGGGUGGUGCAAUACAUCAACACACAUGCCACAAACCAAACAGAACCAGAAUGCCAGCUUUCAUCCCAACGUGUAAAGAUAGGACGUUAAUUGGUUGGACAGAGCUGCAGUUUAGCCCGACUGUUUGAUUUCCAGAAGAACAAAAAAAGUCUCCGAUACCCAGAGGGAGCUGAGAGAACUUUUUACAUCUUACAUCAUCGUAGAAAACAUAUUCAUGUGGUCUUACGUCUCCUGCGCAUAAACUCAAAUGACAUAUUCUGUACUGCUUUUGAAGGCUAUAAGUCUUUCUGAAUGGGGCUGCCCUCUUAUUUUAGGGUGCUUUAUGGAGCAGUAAUGACUCUCGUCUUUUAGAUAAGGUCCAAACAGAUGAAUCACUUGACAUUAUCAGGAGUGGAUGAGUCAGGAUGAUGUUUUUGAUGUUGGAUGCUCUUAGUUCGGAUUGCCUUGUCAGAACGGAUGUCUCUGUGUAUACAAAACUCACCUGAGCCCCAUGUGUCACAUUAUUCCUCCUGAAAACAAGUCAGGGUCAUUAUCCGGCAGUGAAUAAUGUGCAUGCAAUGCUUAGAGGACUAACUACAUGUCUUUUGUUGUGCGCAGUUGGAAGCUGGGGCUUGUAAUUAAAGAAAGUUAAUUUAGCGCUUCAUGUGGAGUAGAGGAUCUUUUCACUACAAAUACAAUAUGCUUGCUUCGUGCCUGAUUGAUGUUGGGGGAUAAUGUGUGCCAAAGUGUGUUUUGUGAGGGUGUGUGACUAAUCUAUUGUGCAGCAUUGAAUGGCCUUUCUAUGACACUCCUCUCCUCCGUCUGCCUCAGUUGCCAUGAUACAUCACAGAUGUGCUCCCUCAUUGCUUCACCUCCCUUAUCUUUUUACUGUAUUUCUCAGCAAGGGACAGGCUCAAUUAUGAUUCCGAAAAUACCAACUGCUAUCUGUUGGAGGGUUAUAAAAAUGUUGAGCAUUUUCUGCUGGUAACUUUUGUCCACCACAGAUGCAAGAAGAAUAAUCUCCUAUGAAAAUAUGACACCGCAUAGACAGCCUGUCUAAAGGAUAACAUUUCUAACUUAUCAAAUCCUUCGCUGUUGUUGAAACUUGCAUGACUUCCUUUGAUUUGAUGCUGUCACUCUUGGAUGCAGCAGACACAAACAGGCUUGAUAAUAUUCAAAGGCUGUUUCUCAGAGGGGGCAGGGUUAACUUUUGAUUGGUGUGUAUCCCUAUCCCAGAGCAGUAGAGCGGCGUUCCAAAGCACCACUCCGGUUAGCAGGGGGUAGACACUGCCACUGACGGAGUGAGACCGCCGCCUGGCUCAGUGAAGCUGAGCGCCAGCGCUUGGAUUCCCCCUCCUUCUGUCACUGAGCAGAGAGUCUCAGCUCUCUGUCUCAGUGCUUUUCUAGGUCAGGAUGAUCACAGCACUGCAGCAGCACACACACACACACACAAACACAAACACAAGUGCAUGCAGACAGACCGACACAGACUGUAUACAGUAUCGUCACACAAAUUGAGGAUGUUAAAGGAAUGCGCACUCACAUGCACAAACAGAUAAAUGCAUCCACAAAGUUUUAAAUGUAUAAAAUGUUUGCAGAGAAGAAAAGCAAAGACAGUCACGUGUUAUAUUGUCACCUUUUUAUUGUUAAGUAUUUAAAACAGGGUCUUAGAGAUGCUUUAACACCACUGUAAUGAUUGAAAUACCAUCAUAGAAUAAGUUCUAUCUUACUUACGCAAGGUUGACGAAGCUAUAAUCGAGAUCUUUGAAAAAGGCGUAGAGUCGUCGGGUACUUUGACAAACUAUUUCCCUCCAGUACCCUUUGAAACACCCAGAUGAGAUCAUCAGGACCUGAAUGUUAACAUGCAGCCUUGAAAAUGUUAUCUGAUAACAUUUACUUGGAAGCAAGAUUAUGUGGCUUUUAAAAUUCAAUUAACUCUUUUUGCAAAUGUUGAAAGGUUGGUCGUGUCAUUUUUAUUUUUAAUGUUUAACUUUUUAUGAGGAAUAUUCGUCAGAUGCUGCUUACUGGUGCUGCUGUUGGCAUCUUUUAAAAAUAUAAGCAUUUUGAUGUUCAAAUUGGCUCAAUACAGUUUGAUCUCCUUGGGUUAAAUUAUAUCUACAAGCAACUGUAGCAUUUCCUCUGGAGAUAGAGCGAUCAAUCAGCCGACCGAUCAAUGGCAACAAUUAUUGGCGUUUUAAGUUAUCUGCAUCAUUUCACCAUCAGCCCUCAUGGAGCCGUUUUCUCUUUCUGAUUUAAAAAUACUCUUGGUUUUUGGGAACACAUGCCACCAAAUUCAAUACAAUAUACUGUACAUUUAACAACAGCAGAAGGUCUGUAACAUUAUAGUUCUGUGUCUGGUUGAGAGAGCCCAAUAUGUGACUUUUCAGACACUAAAUCUUUGAUAGUGCCAUGAGAGACAGUAUUCUGAGUCUCUGCAUUGUACUUCAGUUGCACCCCCAUGCAGGGGCGUAGCACCAAAUUUUGGGCCCUAUACACUCUCAAUGUCAGUGGGCCCCUACCCACGCCAGUGCAUGAGGCCCAUGAGCAAAAAAAAACAAAACAAAACAAAAAAUUCUGGAUUUUCAUGGGCAGUCAGGUCCACUUUUUCCUCCACUACCACGCCCAUGCCUCCAUGCACGCACUGAUGAAAAUUGUGCUGUUCAUUGGCGUUAUGAAACUGCCACUAAUGUGCUUGUAUACCCAGUGUAGCAGGAAAAGGAUUCACUUCAGUCCUCAUUCAUCAAAGCCACCCAAGCACUCCUCCUUUCAUGUAUAAUUAAUAUAUGUAAAUAUAUAACAUCGAAGGGACCUGCCUUAUUUAUUUGUUGCAUUGGCGAUAAGGGACGAUUUAGAAGGGGUAGUGAGCUCGGUAAGUAGCAACUAAAAGUUUUCUCAAGCAGCCGUUAGUGCACUGAAAGAAGCUUAGCAACAUUUACAUCAACAUUUACAUGACCAGAUCGUUCUAUAUUAGACCAUAAGCAGGUUAAGAGGUUUAUAAUAAUCCUGUAUGCUUCAUGCUUGAAAAGGUGUUGGAAGUUGUAGCAUAGCCUGGGUAAGAAGAUGUGUGAGAAGAUGACAGAAGUGAAAAAAAGGCAAGAAAGUCAAAUUCGGUUUGGAGAGAAGAAGCAACAAAAAGAAGGAAUACUUGUUGUCCCAACAACUUCCAUUUUUUAUGUGUUUGUUUUAUUAUGCUCAUAAGUGAAUUCAGCUCAGUUUAAGAGAUGGGAACCGAUGCACACUAAGUACUGAAAUAAGCUGAUGCUACCUAAGAGGAGUGAAUGAGAAACAAUAAAAGAGAAAACUUAAAAAUAAAAGCAUCCAUAUGUCAAGCGUUUCUCUCAAAUUCAAACUAAACACUGAGAUAAAUACAGUUAAAUUCCACCACUAUCCACCGCCUUUUCUAAAGCUUGUUUUUUACAGCUGGGUCAAAGCAACAAAGAACUUUUGGAGAAUUUAAAAUAAAACUCAAGUUUAUCCGACUUGCUGCUGCUCAACGUGCUUUCGGUUUGUGGAAGCAAGUAAAAACAGCGUCUUUAAAUGUUACUCCUGUUUACAGCAAACACAAAGAUGAAGAAAAAAAAAGACAUUUUAGUGACCUAAGUAAUGAUUUCAUUAACUACAAAUCCUGCGUGUGAGAUUUGACUGCAGAACAAACCCAACAUUAACAUCAGCACAGUGUUAUAAUUGUGUUCACCAUCUGCCUUAAUUUGGCAAAAAAAAUAUGACAAUAAUUAUUCGUCAAACAACUUUUUUAAUUCAGUAAUGAAGACAAGAUUGUUAAAAAUAAUAAUUAAAAAAAAGUUUUUUUUUGUUUACAAGGCAGCAAAUUUAAAAAGUAAUGUUCAAAAUCUAUGAUAAUUUCAUCUAUUUUGUGAGUCACACAUCAAAUUAUAACCAAUGCAUUCUUGUAGCUGAUUGAAUUGGUCGAGAUGUGUUUAUUUUGAUACUGAUCUGCAACAACUGUGCCGCAGGAUACAAAUUCUCACUCCCUCCAUGCUUCUUUGUCGGUGUCAUUUAUGAUUUUAUGCUGUUACAUCUCAGUGCCCUAAAUUGCAUUCAGCUGCUGGAGCAAAAUCUGUAAUUUUUUUGUACCACAGUUAAAUAUAUUAUCCUUGUAUAGGGAUGUGGUGAGAAGAUAUUUAGCAAGAUGUUUUUACAGUAUUGAUCAACUCAUCAAAGGUGAUGCUGCAGUUGAGGGCAGUGAAAGGACUGUCGGCCUUGACAUUGUAGGUGCAGUUUGUGGAUCAUCAUAAAAAGCAAUACAUCCUUUUUAUUAUGAACCUCAUGUGUUGAUUGCAUUUUCAUUCGAAGUAUACAAAAGUUUAGCCAGGUGGCUGUGAAAGAUUUAUUUAUUUAUCUAUUUUUUUACUUUGGAUAAUUCCUGGAAUUUAGCACUUUUACUUUACAUAAGCAGAUCAGGAAGGACAGCACGGCAGCAUUGCUUUGUGGUAGACUGAGAUACAUUCAGCUAAGAAGGGAAAUUCGGAAGUCAGAUUUUUAGGAGAGUUUUCUAUCAAUUUUAACACAUGAUACAGCCUUAACUUGAAUUUAUCAUCGGCUAAUUGAGAAUAACUUUUUAUUGACCCAAACUAGAUGAAGGGCAAAAAUGACUAAAAUUUGACACAAACUGAAAAGUCUAAAUCUGAAAUACAGCUGCUAAAAUUAACUUUGUUCACUGCACUGGACAGUUGAAGGCUAAAGCCACCUUCAAAGCACAUUUCAAGGCCUCGUCAUCAUACUGCCACAUAAACUUUUAUCCUUCUUACCUGUAUCUUUUUAGAUUUCAUUAUGUAAAGCACCUUGAGUUGCCUGUGUGUGUAAAAAAAAAAAAAAGCAAUAUGAAAGAACUAGUUCUGUCUGCCAUAAAAGGACAGCCCUGGGACAGUUCAUAAAGGAUGGGCGGAUAAAGUAAGAUUGAGGAGACGUUUGAAGAGUACCUUAUUUUGAAGAGGCUGGGAGGUUUGUUUGGAGUAGGAGCAGGCUGCCAAUAUCCCAAAUUAGAGAGCAAAGUAGUCAAAGAGCUCCUCCUGAUUAAUAGAAACUGGCUCGUCAGCCUAAUAGACAGUGCCAGGCACAAAUUAACCAUCAGUUCUUGAGACGCUAAUUAUACAUUCUCUCUACAAAUUACAUUAUAAGGAUCACUUUUCUAUUUAUGCUUGUUUUUUUUUUUUCAAACCACUUUCCAAAAAGCCUUUCCUUCACUUGCCACUGAGUCCCUCUCAAAAGAAAGUAGCUUUUGUCAAAGCAGUCUGGUAAAUGGAAGAAAGGAUGGAUCCUCAGUGAUCUGAACCUUCACUGAUAAGUUGCCAUGUCAGUCUUUGGCAGUGAAAAGAACAUCUUGAACCAGCUAGGAGGGUAUGCAUAUCAAAUGAAAUGGAGUGCAAGAUAACCGAGAGAUGAGGAUCCCUCAAAUGAGAAAACACAGUUUGCCAUUGAGAGAUAAACAGAAAAGAAAUAAUGGAAAAAAAGAUAAACAAACAAACCAAAAGAUGCACAAUAAUGAGCAUUCCCCUGGCUGAUUUGAUUGCAUAACUUCAUCGGCUUUCACCACAGCACUAUCUUUUUAGCAUCCUCCCAGGAGUACCUGCUGUGCAAAGUUUGCAAGCAGAAGUUUGGUUGUUCUGUGGGCUGUUUUCUCGAUACUGGAGGUUUGAUGGAGAGAAAAUAGAGCUUGCAGAUCUUUCAUGUUUCUGUAUGUGCCAACAAGAGCAACACAGCAAGUUUAUCAGAUGGCAAAGAUAUAAAGCUUCACUUGAUUAAAGCUGCAUGGGUAAAAAACCUGUUUAAGAUUCAGUUCGAGACACAAUCCAAGUCAGAAAAUAGUUUCCAGCAGCAAGUUUAUCUUGUAGUUUGAUCCUGUGGUACGGAGAUGGAUCAUGAGGUGAUAUCAUUUAGAGCCAAGGCAAUUUAAAGGUCCAUUAUAACAGUGUUUUUUUUUUUUUUUUUUUAAUAUGUCCCAGUUAUCUUCAAAGAAAGGUUUCAGAUUGAAAAAAAAGAGAAGAGACAAGGAGAGAGUUUGUGGGAAACUCCACCAACGAAUCAAUCAAUUUGUGAAAUUGUGGAGCCCUGUGGUCUGAUCCCACAGAAAGGACGAGAGACCAGUAGGAAGCUUAAGUGGCCUGUGUGAUAAUAAAUGUUAAAACUAUAGACUAAAGUUUGUGAUUUAACUUAAACUUAAACUUUGAGAACCAUUAUGUGCCCUUAAAUCUAGGCUGUAGCAUCAAGUAAAGUACCACCUUUACACUGAUAACACCCUGUUAUAUGUCUUAUUGCUAACCCUCUAUCAAAGCAAAUAUCCUAGUCUUAUUUAUUUAUUUAUAAUUUAAUACUUAUUUAUUUUUCUUUUAAAUUCUCUAACUCUUUACUAUGUCUCUUGGAAAAUAUAAAACAGAACUUGUCUUGUUUACCACACCCAAGCAGAUGGUACUUUAUUUAAUUUAGCAUUGUGUUUUGAUUACCAAGCAGAGGGAGUCGCUCUGCAUAAUUUCCCCGACUGGAUCUGAUUUUAGAAAUCAAACUAUCAUUAUAUUUUUAAACAAAGUUAUCUACGACUUUGUUUUGCCAGGAGGAAUUUCAGUGAUUUCCUAACAGUGAUAUAACGCUGACACUCCACUGGCCUAAAUUGCUCCAGGUUUACACUCCAGUAAGAAAACACUUUCAUAGUCAAUGUUUCUCUGGAUUUCACUUUGCUAGUAGUUGUGUUGGGGAUUUUUUUGCUUGUGUCUAGUACUUGGCUUUUUAACAGCUGAUGGGUUUUUAUAGUCUGGCACCUGAUUUCUAAAACCUAGUUAGAACAUCUAGGUGUUAUAUACAACUCCCUGUGUGUGUGGUUGGUACUUUCCAUUGAGUCUACUGCUCACCCAUGGCAAAUCCUGAUGUGUAUGACAAUAUAUCCCACUCGAUCUGGUACUUAUUCCCUCGUUGUUCUUUCUCCUGCAUCACUGGUACAUUGAAAUUUUCUGAGCUAUUCAUCUGUUCAUUUCUUGCCCUCUACCUGCCACAAAGCAGGUUGAGGUUACUAAGAUCAGAGCUUGUGUGUAUGUGUCUGUGUCUGCAGAUGUGGGUCUUGUCCCACCCUCAAAAGCCAUAGAGACCUAACAAUAAUGUGGCAAAGUUGCUCAACAUGGCGUGAAAUGACUUUAUUGCAUUUUUACAUUAAAAGCACUGAUAGAAUACAUUUCUAAUAAAAGGGCCACAGUGCCCCGGGGAGCAGGCAUGAGGUCUGCCAGUCAUGCAAGGUGUCGCUUGAGCGUGUAUUUUUGAGUGGGUGAAAGAAAAUGAGUUUGGAAAAAGAGCAGAGCAACAGUGUAAUUGAAAUGACAUGGAAACCAAAAAAACCUUUCAAAUUUGGACUGACAUUCACUCUCGCGUAUGUAUAUUCUCCCUUUCCUUAGGUGCUAAUAAGUGUUGUGUAGUGAGAACAAACAUGCUUGUUUCCAUGAGCGACACAAAUUUCCAUGUUGGUACGAUGUGAAGUCGAUGCGGUGAUGCAGGCUCAGACAUGGAAACUGUGGCCUGCUACAGUUACAAUCAGAAUAUUUAACUCAUCCUCCACUUAGAUGUGACAUUUAGCAAAUGAUACUCAGCUAGUCACACAGAAAUUCAUUUUACAGAGUGACUGUGUUUCUAACCAUUGUUGAGCUGAAGAGGGAGCGGACACUCACAUUAAAUCCUACCAAGGCCCCAGGAACAUGGGAUCAAGAGAAUCCUUGAUUGCUGUAAAAAGCACCUGCUACUGUCCUUCAGAGUCAGUCAAAGAGAUUAUUGUGGAAAAAAGGGUCUUGCAAUCAUUCAUUCAUGAAAUUAAUCAUGAUUCAUUUCAAUGAUGAAAGAUUGAGUCUAAAACUGAAUAUACCUGAAACGGGUACUAGCUGCUUCCUGCAUAACCCAAAAGUUUUAGAUAAUGUUUAUUUAGAAAAGGCAGUCAGAUAUAAGCACUCAUGUUCAAGACUGGAAUUUAAAGUCAAAUUUUCCAGCCUUAUAUGGCACAUAAAGCAUUUCACACCACCAGUACUAGCCAGUACUUAGCACCAAUUGCUGCACCCGAUGUAGGUACCAGAUGUGUUUGGUCUGUCAGAAGACGUCACAUUACAGCAAGUCCACUCGGACAAACUACAUUGUGCUCCAUUAAAUAAGUCGAGUGUGCUCAGUGCUCGGUUUUCUUCAUUUCCAGGUGUUUGUUCAAUUGACCUUGAAAUUUUCUCUCCAUAUAAUACAGAGAGAUUCAACAUACUGUACUGUAAUUGUACACAGGGUCUCCGUUUAUCAAUAGAUAGUUUUGCUUUUAUUCAACAUUUUCUUUGACAACCUAAAAAAGGUGGUUGUCUGGCUGUCGUAAGUCCCCUUUGAUAAGUAGCGAUAGAUUCCUUCAUAAAGUUCAUCCAUGUUUUAUCCAAAGAACUACAAUCCCAUGAAACCUAAUCUGGCUAAAACCGC